UGUUUGGAUGACCCUGGGUUUCAUUCCCAGAGUUGCUGAAGACUAGCUGGCUGUGGCCCUUCUCACAGAACUCUUCCAAGAAGGAAGGACGUGGCAAGAUCCAGUGUACUCUCCGACAUGGAGGAAGAGCGUCUCUGGCCCUCCUGCCUGCUCCUGAGACUCUUCUUCCUUCUGGGUCGCCCUGUCAGCCUCGACAGGAGGGGCUUUGUCUUGUCUGACUGUUAAAAAUGGAGCCAGAUAUGGUGGCAUGUGCCUGAGUCCCUCAGAGGUGGAAGUUUGAGACAGGAGGGGGGACGCAUGAAUCCAAGAGUUCCUGGCCGAUCUGGACAACAUAGCAAGAGUUUGUCUUCCAAAAAAAGCAAAGUAUUUUUAAAAAUAAGAUUAUGCUUUCUCCACAAAUGUGUAUUCCAAAUAGCAUUUCUUUUCUAUCAAAAAU
rnacentral:lncRNA from 1 species